rnacentral:lncRNA from 1 species
GCCAGUAAACAUGUUUUCCUGCGUUAUGUAAGCCCCAUUUAACAAAGUCACCAAACCCAGGACGGUGUCCAUGAAACCAGCCUGCAGCCAGUGUGUCAGGAGCUCGGGCUGCAGCAGCUACCGCCCCCUCCAAACAGACUAUGUCUGUACUGAAUUAAAGGAGCCUGUGGCAAGAAUCUGCAGGACUGCUUGCUCAGAAAGCAGAAAUCUUUAUGGUUCUAUUAACUAGAGACACAGAAGGGUUUUCCAUGUUCCUGGGAAUAAAAUAAAAUGGCAGAGAGGUCUUUUC